rnacentral:rRNA from 1 species
CACGUAGGGUGCGAGCGUUGUCCGGAAUUAUUGGGCGUAAAGAGCUCGUAGGCGGUGUGUCACGUCGGCCGUGAAAACCUGCAGCUUAACUGUGGGCGUGCGGUCGAUACGGGCAUCACUGGAGUUCGGCAGGGGAGACUGGAAUUCCUGGUGUAGCGGUGAAAUGCGCAGAUAUCAGGAGGAACACCGGUGGCGAAGGCGAGUCUCUGGGCCGAUACUGACGCUGAGGCACGAAAGCGUGGGGAGCAAACAGG